AUUGAACGCUGGCGGCAUGCCUUACACAUGCAAGUCGAACGGUAACAGGUCUUCGGAUGCUGACGAGUGGCGAACGGGUGAGUAAUACAUCGGAACGUGCCCGAGAGUGGGGGAUAACGAGGCGAAAGCUUUGCUAAUACCGCAUACGAUCUCAGGAUGAAAGCAGGGGACCGCAAGGCCUUGCGCUCACGGAGCGGCCGAUGGCAGAUUAGGUAGUUGGUGGGAUAAAGGCUUACCAAGCCGACGAUCUGUAGCUGGUCUGAGAGGACGACCAGCCACGCUGGGACUGAGACACGGCCCAGACUACUACGGGAGGCAGCAGUAGGGAAUUUUGGACAAUGGGCGCAAGCCUGAUCCAGCCAUGCCGCGUGCAGGAUGAAGGCCUUCGGGUUGUAAACUGCUUUUGUACGGAACGAAAAGACUCUGGUUAAUACCUGGGGUCCAUGACGGUACCGUAAGAAUAAGCACCGGCUAACUACGUGCCAGCCGCCGCGGUAAAAC
rnacentral:rRNA from 1 species